rnacentral:rRNA from 1 species
UACGUAGGUGACCAGCGUUGUCCGGAUUUACUGGGCGUAAAGAGCGCGCAGGCGGUCGUUCAAGUCGAGUGUGAAAGCCCCCGGCUCAACUGGGGAGGGUCACUCGAUACUGAUCGACUUGAAGGCAGGAGAGGGAAGCGGAAUUCCCGGUGUAGUGGUGAAAUGCGUAGAUAUCGGGAGGAACACCGGUGGCGAAGGCGGCGACCUGGGUAGAUACUGACGCUGAGGCGCGAAAGCUAGGGGAGCAAACGGG